rnacentral:lncRNA from 1 species
UUAGAAUAAUAGUAUUCUGGCAUUACGUGAGUAUGAUUUUCUUUUCUCCAGCCCCUGUUUCUAGACUUUGUAAAUUUGUACAUUGACAACUAGUUGGUCCAGCUUCUUGGGUUUUUUUUUUUUUUUUUAAAAAAAACGACUGCUGGGCCCAAAGUGCCGUUGAUAUUACAGGUUGCCAUUACUUUUUAUGAGCUAGUUUGCGAUGCCAGUUGGAUGGAUUCUCUUUUCCUAACGGCAGUGGAAUAUCUAUGUCAGCUUCUGGCGGCCGAUGACUCUGUCACCAGUCCAUUUGAGAGACUGCCAACUCUCAUGGAAGAUCUGGGUGGACGUUGCAGUUCUGGAUAGGUUUGUGUGUUCUCUUUUCCAAGGAGAAAGAAAUGGUGGUGGAAUUGCAUGUGUCUAACUCUUAACUAUUUCUUAUCAGAGUUUUAGUUCUUGUGGGCUUAUGAAUUCAUCUUGUCUUAGUAACAAAGUGUCAACAAAAUGUACUGAAAAGGGUUUUCUUUUAAAAAUGAUAAGAGAAACUAUUCCAGCGAAUAGUUUGCAAACUAGAGAGAUACAGUUCUGGAGAACAAAGAGAGGAUUUUUUCUUUCUCUCUUUCUUUCUUUCUUUUUUUUUUUUUAAUAGAGUUCCUGCCCAAGGUUCCCACUGGUCUGCUAGGCAACUGAGGAAUGCAAACUUGUUUAGUUCUGAUUGGUUGAUGCUUGUUGGGUUCUGACUGGUUGACACUUGGGAUCUCAUGGGUUGAUGUUUGUUGAAUUCUCAUGGGUUGACAUUUGUUGGGUUCUGACCGGUUGACACUUGGGAUCUCAUGGUUUUAUGUUUGUUGAGUUCUCAUGGGUUGACAUUUGUUGGGUUCUGAUUGGUUGAUACUUGUUGAGUUCUGACUGGUUGCUGCUUUUUGGGUUUGAUGGGUUGAUGCUUGUUGGCUUCUGACUGUUUGAUGCUUGUUAAGUUCUGACUGGUUGAUGCUUAUUGAGUUCUGACUGGUUAAUGCUUGUAGGCUUCUGACUUGUUGGCUUCUGACUGGUUGACACUCAUUGGGUUCUGAGGGGUUGGUGCUUGUUGAGUUCAGACUGGUUGACACUUGUUGGGUCCUGAUGGGUUUGUGCUUGUUGAAUUCUGACUGGUUGACACUUGUUGAGUUCUGAUUAGUUGGUGCUUGUUGAGUUCUGAUGGGUUAGCAUUCAUUGGGUUCUAUCUAACUGGUUGAUGCUCAUUGAGUUCUGACUGUUUGACACUUGUUGGACUCUCAUGGGCUGAUGCUUAUUGAGUUCUGAUAGGUGGACACUUGAUGAGUUCUGAUGGGUUGACACUUACUGGGUUCUGACUGUGGGCACUUGCUGAGUUCUGAUGAGUUUGGCACUUGGGUUCUGAUGACUCAACACUUGUUGAGUUCUGAUGGGUCGACACCUGAUGAGCUCUGACUGUUUGACACUUACUAGGUUCUAACUGGUUGACACUUAUUGAGUUCUGACUAGUUGAUGCUUAUUGAAUUCUGAUUGGUUGACACAGAUCACAGUCUGUUGAUUGAUUCAGGCUACAUGAAUAGGAAUCGACAGUUGUGAAAGUCUCAAAGUUGUAAGAAUGUUUGGGUUUUCCAGGAACUCAGAGCACAUGUGUGAGCUCUUGUCAGCAAAUGGCCACUUGACCCUGUUUUGAAUUUAGUCCCAUUGAGUGACUUGGGAUCCACCUUGAAGCACUGACUCCUUCAGGGUUCACAGAAAAUGUAGGAGAACCCACCAUUUGAACCAUUUGCCUACAUCUUGAUCCCAUACCUUUAUUUUCUUACUCUUGACCUGAUUUGGCCUAACAUUUUCCAUCCUUUUUUCUUCACUGAAGUUUAGCUUAGUUUUCUGUUCUUUAAAUGUGUUCUUUAAGUAAUGACAGAUCAUCCUCAUUCUAGGCUCCAAAGAUAGUAAUAAGAUGUACUCUUUCUAGACAGGCGGAAUGAAUUUUGAUGGCUCAGUUUUUUAAAAUGUAUAUCUUUUUGAGGGCUUUGGUUAGCCUUUCAAAUUUGAAUUAGUCAAUAUUUUAAAUGGUUUAAUUAUUUUUAAAAAUUUUAAUAUUAUAAGAUGUAUAAUAUUAUAAUAUGUUUCAUAUUGUAAAUGUUACAGCAUUUGUGACAAUGAAAAUAAGUCUUAAACAUCCCAGAAAUAAAACCACUUAAUCAUGUAUAGAGUUCUCUAUCAAUAUCUACUUUAUUCAUUGUUACAUGGGCUUCAAAAUUCUAUUGCAAUUUAUGAAGCUUGAGCUAGGCAAUCUAGUAAGACCCUGUCUCUACAGAAAAUGAAAAACUUAGCUGGACAUUGUGGUGCAUGCCUGUAGUCCUAACUACUCAGGAGGCUGAGGUAGGAGGAUUGCUUGAGCCCAGGCGUUAUAUGUAGAUGUGGAUGUGGAUGUGGAUGGAUGGAUGGAUGGAUGGAUGGAUGGAUGGAUAGAUAGAUAGAUAGAUAGAUAGAUAGAUAGAUAGAUAGAUAGAUAUAGAUAACUAGACAGAUGAUAGAUAAUAGGUUGAUAGGGAUAGAUGAUACAUUGUUAGAUAGAGUUUCUCACGCAAAAGCCCUGAGUUUCUCUAACUGAGCACUACUGACAUCUGAGCCUGGGUGAUAACAAUGAGACUCCGUCUAAAAAAAAAAAAAAAAAUUGUUAUAAACCAUCUUUCCCCAUUCCUCUAACUUCUGAACAUUGCAACUAAUCACAUAGUAAAGUGUUCCCACAUCAUGUUAGGUUAUUAAUGCCAAAUAAAACUUUUAUUUGUUAUGAGUGCCCAUUUUGUGUUUUGUUUUAUAGUCUGUGUGUAACAUGUGAAUAUUCGCUGGUAGAUGUGGACCUGCCAUAUUUCUGUAACAUUUGGAAGUAAAUUAGUAGAUGUUUUGAAGUAGUUUAUUGUCUCUUUUGCCAAUUAUAUUGAAUAAUAGUGAGAUUACAGUGCAUUUUAUUUCUAUAUUGAGAAUUAUUUUUGUUCCUAAGUUUACCCUUCUGCUUUGUAUUAAGUGAAAGCUGCUCGUGGAAGGCAUUUUUCUGCUAAAAUGUACAUCUAGGUUGCUGGAAAUCUGCUUUUUUCCAGAACUCUUUAGUACCUCAGAGUUUUCCUACAGGCAUUCCGGACUUUUGCCCCACAUUUGCUUUUUGAUCUAUCUCCACUACCACUGGCAUUCUCAUUGUGGUAGGAGUUAUUAAGAAAUUAUUUUAGGCAGAUAGAGAGGAAAAGGGGUCCUUGGAAAGUUUUCGUUUCUUUUAAAGCAGCUCCAGAAACGUUUCUUGUCUAUCAGGAAAGCCCAGGCUCUUAGACUCGGGGGCAACCUUUGAUAUGCAAAUGCAGAACAUUAGAAACUGGGUCCAUCCAAACAUAGCGAUUCCCGCCCUCUUCUUCUUGCCCUUGCCCCACAUGUGCCUGGCAGCAUGGCUGCCCCCACAUAUCCCCACGUGUGUAGAACAUCAUGGCGCACCGUAUUUGCAUAUUAAAAGGCUAGGGUGGGAAGGCCAGUUUUUUUCAUGGGCUACAUAAAGACAUGCCUGGUCAAACCAAUCCCCUAAGCCCUGUGCAAAUCAGAUCGCCUCCUCCAGCCUCCUCAUAUAAUUGGCCAGUAUCCCCACAGGAGGCAGGAGGGGCCUCCCCUCUCGCCUUUGGAGCCCCCCUCCCUCUGUCUCUGUACAGGGGAGCUGCUUCUUUCUUGCCUAUUAAACUCUCCACUCCUUUAAACCAUUCCACAUGUAUCCAUGUUGUUUUAUCUAAACUAGUGAGAGGACCAAGAACCCUGGUGUUCCUCCACUCAUUGGGGCCGCAUCAUCAUCACACCUUAAAAGCCAGCCAAGCCAGAUGAAAAGAACUCCUUAAAUAUUAGGCUGCCACUGUCCUCUCAAGACUCUGAGAGAUUAAGUCUCCUGUAUGGCAAAAAACCAAAAAACCAAAAAAACAAAAAACAAAAAAAAA